AUACGUAGGUGACAAGCGUUAUCCGGAUUUACUGGGCGUAAAGGGCGUGUAGGCGGUCUUGCAAGUCAGAAGAGAAAUUCCUGAGCUCAACUCGGGCGCUGCUUCUGAAACUGCAGGACUUGAGUGCUGGAGGGGAUAGCGGAAUUCCUAGUGGAGCGGUAAAAUGCGCAGAUAUUAGGAAGCACACCGGUGGCGAAGGCGGCUAUCUGGACAGUAACUGACGCUGAGGCGCGAAAGCGUGGGGAGCAAACAGGAUUAGAUCCCCUGGUAGUCCACGCCGUAAACGAUGAAUACUAGGUGUAGGGGGUAUCGACUCUCUCUGUGCCGCAGUUAACACAAUAAGUAUUCCGCCUGGGGAGUACGGCCGCAAGGUUGAAACUCAAAUGAAUUGACGGG
rnacentral:rRNA from 1 species